UGUAAAGGUCUAUCAGCAGGGAAGAAAAUGACGGUACCCGACUAAGAAGCCCCCGGCUAACUACUUGCCAGCAGCCGCGGUAAUACGUAUUGGGCAAGCUUUAUCCGGAUUUACUGGGUGUAAAGGGAGCGUAGACGGCCGUGCAAGUCUGAUGUGAAAGGCUGGGGCUCAACCCCGGGACUGCAUUGGAAACUGUAUGGCUGGAGUGCCGGAGAGGUAAGCGGAAUUCCUAGUGUAGCGGUGAAAUGCGUAGAUAUUAGGAGGAACACCAGUGGCGAAAGCGGCUUACUGGACGGUAACUGACGUUGAGGCUCGAAAGCGUGGGGAGCAAACAGGAUUAGAUACCCUGGUAGUCCACGCCGUAAAC
rnacentral:rRNA from 1 species